GUUGAUAGGUCAGAGGUGUAAGUGCGGUAACGUAUUUAGCUGACUGAUACUAAUAGGUCGAGGGCUUGACCAAUAUAA
rnacentral:rRNA from 1 species